CGUCGGGACCGGCGAGGAAGGCGACGACAUUGGCGAUGUCGUCCGGUUGGCCCAGCCGUUCGAGCGGCGGCAUCUUGGCGA
rnacentral:tRNA from 1 species